CCUACGGGCGGCAGCAGUAGGGAAUCUUCCACAAUGGACGAAAGUCUGAUGGAGCAACGCCGCGUGAGUGAAGAAGGGUUUCGGCGCGUAAAGCUCUUUUGGUAGUGAAGCAAGAUAGUGGUAGUAACUGGCCUUUAUUUGACGGUAAUUACUUAGAAAGUCACGGCUAACUACGUGCCAGCAGCCGCGGUAAUACGUAGGUGGCAAGCGCUGUCCGGAUUUUUUGGGCGUAAAGCGAGUGCAGGCGGUUCAAUAAGUCUGAUGUGAAAGCCUUCGGCUCAACCGGGGAAUUGCAUCAGAAACUGUUGAACUUGAGUGCAGAAGAGGAGAGUGGAA
rnacentral:rRNA from 1 species